rnacentral:rRNA from 1 species
GCUUGUCUCAAAGAUUAAGCCAUGCAUGUCUUAGUGUAAAUAACUCUUAUGAAACUGCGAAUGGCUCAUUAAAUCAGUUAUCAAAUACGUGAUGGUCGCCUACUACAUGGAUAACCGUAGUAAUUCUAGAGCUAAUACAUGCUGGUGUGCCUGACUUUUCGGAAGGGCGGUAUUUAUUAGAUAACGAACCAAUAUUCCUCUGGUCUAUUGUGGUGAAUCAUAAUAACUGAUCGAAUCGCAAAGCCUUUGGCUGCGAUAUGUCAUUCAAGUUUCUGCCCCAUCAGCUUUCGAUGGUAGUGUAUUGGACUACCAUGGCUUUAACGGGUAACGAAUUGUUAGGGCAAGAUUUCGGAGAGGGAGCCUGAGAAACGGCUACCACAUCCAAGGAAGGCAGCAGG